rnacentral:rRNA from 1 species
CGGGUGAGUAACACGUGAGUAACCUGCCCUUAACUCUGGGAUAAGCCUGGGAAACUGGGUCUAAUACCGGAUAUGACUCCUCAUCGCAUGGUGGGGGGUGGAAAGCUUUAUUGUGGUUUUGGAUGGACUCGCGGCCUAUCAGCUUGUUGGUGAGGUAAUGGCUCACCAAGGCGACGACGGGUAGCCGGCCUGAGAGGGUGACCGGCCACACUGGGACUGAGACACGGCCCAG